UACCAGCACCCCGAGUGGUCGGGACGAUUAUUGGGCCUAAAGCAUCCGUAGCCGGUCCUACAAGUCUUCCGUUAAAUCCACCUGCUUAACAGAUGGGCUGCGGAAGAUACUAUAGGGCUAGGAGGCGGGAGAGGCAAGCGGUACUCAGUGGGUAGGGGUAAAAUCCUCUGAUCCAUUGAAGACCACCAGUGGCGAAGGCGGCUCGCCAGAACGCGCUCGACGGUGAGGGAUGAAAGCUGGGGGAGCAAACCGG
rnacentral:rRNA from 1 species